rnacentral:rRNA from 1 species
GAUGAACGCUAGCGGCAGGCCUAACACAUGCAAGUCGAGGGAGGAGCUUUCGGGCUUCGACCGGCGUACGGGUGCGUAACGCGUAUACAAUCUGCCUUUCACAUAGGGAUAGCCCGAAGAAAUUUGGAUUAAUACCUAAUGGUAUAUAGAGGUGGCAUCACCUUUAUAUUAAAGCUGAGGCGGUGAAAGAUGAGUAUGCGUUCUAUUAGCUAGUUGGAGAGGUAACGGCUCCCCAAGGCGACGAUAGAUAGGGGUUCUGAGAGGGAUAUCCCCCACACUGGUACUGAGAUACGGACCAGACUCCUACGGGAGGCAGCAGUGAGGAAUAGUGGACAAUGGUCGGAAGACUGAUCCAGCCAUGCCGCGUGCAGGAAGACGGCCUUAUGGGUUGUAAACUGCUUUUGCAGGGGAAGAAUAAGGACUACGCGUAGUUUGAUGACGGUACUCUGCGAAUAAGCAUCGGCUAACUCCGUG